UACGAGAACCCCAAGCGUUUAUCCGGAAUCAUUGGGCGUAAAGGGUGUGUAGGUGGUUUGGUUAGUCUUCUGUCAAAAUCUCGGGCUUAACCCGAGUCUUGCAGGGGAAACGGCCAGACUAGAGGGUGCGAGAGGUGAAUGGAACUCAUGGAGUAGGGGGUAAUAUCCGUUUGAUAUCAUGGGGGAACACCAAAAGCGAAGGCAAUUCACUGGCGCAUUCCUGACACUGAAACACGAAAGCGUGGGUAGCGAAUGGG
rnacentral:rRNA from 1 species